rnacentral:rRNA from 1 species
CCCUUAGAUGUUCUGGGCUGCACGCGCGCUACACUGAAGCGUUCAACGAGUAUUCACCUUGCCCGGGAGGGUUGGGUAAUCUUUUGAAAACGCUUCGUGAUGGGGAUAGAUUAUUGCAAUUAUUAAUCUUCAACGAGGAAUUCCUAGUAAGCGCGAGUCAUCAGCUCGUGCUGAUUACGUCCCUGCCCUUUGUACACACCGCCCGUCGCACCUACCGAUUGAACGGUCCGGUGAAAUCUUGGGAUUUGCUUUGCUUUCGUUUGUUCGAUGCUCGGCGAAGAACUUGAGUAAACCUUACCGUUUAGAGGAAGGUGAAGUCGUAACA